GAUGAACGCUGGCGGCGUGCCUAAUACAUGCAAGUCGAGCGAACAGACGAGGAGCUUGCUUUUCUGACGUUAGCGGCGGACGGGUGAGUAACACGUGGAUAACCUACCUAUAAGACUGGGAUAACUUCGGGAAACCGGAGCUAAUACCGGAUAAUAUUUUGAACCGCAUGGUUCAAUAGUGAAAGACGGUCUUGCUGUCACUUAUAGAUGGAUCCGCGCCGCAUUAGCUAGUUGGUAAGGUAACGGCUUACCAAGGCAACGAUGCGUAGCCGACCUGAGAGGGUGAUCGGCCACACUGGAACUGAGACACGGUCCAGACUCCUACGGGAGGCAGCAGUAGGGAAUCUUCCGCAAUGGGCGAAAGCCUGACGGAGCAACGCCGCGUGAGUGAUGAAGGUCUUCGGAUCGUAAAACUCUGUUAUUAGGGAAGAACAUAUGUGUAAGUAACUGUGCACAUCUUGACGGUACCUAAUCAGAAAGCCACGGCUAACUACGUG
rnacentral:rRNA from 1 species